UAAAUGUUAUUGGAUAUAAAUGCCUACCUCUGCUCUUCUAUAUAUAGGAACUUACCAGCAGAAUGUUGUGUGAAAGUUUAAUGGAAGGUUUUAACAGGGAGUUGUUAAAGACAAAGUCAAGCAUAAGUAGUUAGUCGAGUCAGUAGUGUACCAACGUAAUCAAAACCAAAGAAAAGACUGAAUCCCUUAGACAAAACCAAAGAAAAGAUUGAAUCCCAUAGACAACCUAUCAACUACUUCCUAAGUCCUUGAACCCG
rnacentral:lncRNA from 1 species